rnacentral:rRNA from 1 species
GACGAACGCUGGCGGCGUGCCUAAUACAUGCAAGUCGAACGCUGAAGGAGGAGCUUGCUUCUCUGGAUGAGUUGCGAACGGGUGAGUAACGCGUAGGUAACCUGCCUGGUAGUGGGGGAUAACUAUUGGAAACGAUAGCUAAUACCGCAUAAUAGCAGUUGUUGCAUGAUAACUGUUUGAAAGGUGCAAUUGCACCGCUACCAGAUGGACCUGCGUUGUAUUAGCUAGUUGGUGGGGUAACGGCUCACCAAGGCGACGAUACAUAGCCGACCUGAGAGGGUGAUCGGCCACACUGGGACUGAGACACGGCCCAGACUCCUACGGGAGGCAGCAGUAGGGAAUCUUCGGCAAUGGACGGAAGUCUGACCGAGCAACGCCGCGUGAGUGAAGAAGGUGUUCGGAUCGUAAAGCUCUGUUGUAAGAGAAGAACGAGUGUGAGAGUGGAAAGUGCACACUGUGACGGGAUCUUACCAGAAAGGGACGGCUAACUACGU